rnacentral:rRNA from 1 species
GACGAACGCUGGCGGCGUGCUUAACACAUGCAAGUCGAACGGAAAGGCCCUGCUUUUGUGGGGUGCUCGAGUGGCGAACGGGUGAGUAACACGUGAGUAACCUGCCCUUGACUUUGGGAUAACUUCAGGAAACUGGGGCUAAUACCGGAUAGGAGCUCCUGCUGCAUGGUGGGGGUUGGAAAGUUUCGGCGGUUGGGGAUGGACUCGCGGCUUAUCAGCUUGUUGGUGGGGUAGUGGCUUACCAAGGCUUUGACGGGUAGCCGGCCUGAGAGGGUGACCGGCCACAUGGGGACUGAGAUACGGCCCAGAGUCCUACGGGAGGCAGCAGUGGGGAAUAGGGCACAAUGGGCGGAAGCCGGAUGCAGCAACGCCGCGUGCGGGAGGACGGCCUGCGGGUUGUAAACCGGUUUCGCCGGUGACGAAGCGUGAGUGACGGGAAUGGGUAAAGAAGCACCGGCUAACUACGUG